GUAUGCACUGGCUUCGCUGAUUCCUCCUUUCUGAAGAACUGUAAUGCCAUUAAUUUGGUGUUGCAGGGAAACAGGACUGUUACUUUGAAAAAAUUAGAGUGUUUAAAGCAGGCUAACGCUUGAAUACAUUAGCAUGGAAUAAUGAAAUAGGACGUUUGAUCCUAUUUUGUUGGUUUCUAGGAUUGACGUAAUGAUUAAUAGGGAUAGUUGGGGGCAUUAGUAUUCAAUUGUCAGAGGUGAAAUUCUUGGAUUUAUUGAAGACUGACUACUGCGAAAGCAUUUGCCAAGGAUGUUUUCAUUAAUCAAGAACGAAAGUUAGGGGAUCGAAGACGAUCAGAUACCGUCGUAGUCUUAACCAUAAACUAUGCCGACUAGGGAUCGGAUGAUGUUAAUUUUUUAAUGACUCAUUCGG
rnacentral:rRNA from 1 species